rnacentral:rRNA from 1 species
AGCGAACGCUGGCGGCAGGCUUAACACAUGCAAGUCGAGCGGGCAUCCUUGUGGUGUCAGCGGCAGACGGGUGAGUAACGCGUGGGAACGUGCCCUUCGGUUCGGAAUAACUCAGGGAAACUUGAGCUAAUACCGGAUACGUGCGAGAGCAGAAAGGUUUAUCUGCCGAAGGAUCGGCCCGCGUCUGAUUAGCUAGUUGGUGAGGUUAUGGCUCACCAAGGCGACGAUCAGUAGCUGGUCUGAGAGGAUGAUCAGCCACACUGGGACUGAGACACGGCCCAGACUCCUACGGGAGGCAGCAGUGGGGAAUAUUGGACAAUGGGGCAACCCUGAUCCAGCCAUGCCGCGUGAGUGAUGACGGCCUUAGGGUUGUAAAGCUCUUUUCUCCGGGACGAUAAUGACGGUACCGGAGGAAUAAGCCCCGGCUAACUUCGU